CCUACGGGGUGCACCAGUGGGGAAUAUUGCACAAUGGGCGCAAGCCUGAUGCAGCCAUGCCGCGUGUAUGAAGAAGGCCUUCGGGUUGUAAAGUACUUUCAGCGGGGAGGAAGGUGUUGUGGUUAAUAACCACAGCAAUUGACGUUACCCGCAGAAGAAGCACCGGCUAACUCCGUGCCAGCAGCCGCGGUAAUACGGAGGGUGCGAGCGUUAAUCGGAAUUACUGGGCGUAAAGCGCACGCAGGCGGUCUGUCAAGUCGGAUGUGAAAUCCCCGGGCUCAACCUGGGAGCUGCAUUCGAAACUGGCAGGCUAGAGUCUUGUAGAGGGGGGUAGAAUUCCAGGUGUAGCGGAGAAGUGCGUAGAGAUCUGGGGGAAUACCGGUGGCGAAGGCGGCCCCCUGGACAAAGACUGACGCUCAGGUGCGAAAGCGUGGGGAGCAAACAGGAUUAGAUACCCGAGUAGUC
rnacentral:rRNA from 1 species